GACGAACGCUGGCGGCGUGCUUAACACAUGCAAGUCGAACGAUGAACCCGGAGCUUGCUCCGGUGGAUUAGUGGCGAACGGGUGAGUAACACGUGAGUAACCUGCCCUUGACUCUGGGAUAACUGCGGGAAACUGUAGCUAAUACCGGAUACGACCCUCGGCGGCAUCGCCAGGGGGUGGGAAGAAUUUCGGUCAAGGAUGGACUCGCGGCCUAUCAGCUAUUGGGUGAGGUAACGGCUUACCAAGGCGACGACGGGUAGCCGGCCUGAGAGGGUGACCGGCCACACUGGGACUGAGACACGGCCCAGACUCCUACGGGAGGCAGCAGUGGGGAAUAUUGCACAAUGGGCGCAAGCCUGAUGCAGCAACGCCGCGUGAGGGAUGACGGCCUUCGGGUCGUAAACCUCUUUUAGUAGGGAAGAAGCGAAAGUGACGGUACCUGCAGAAAAAGCACCGGCUAACUACGUGCCAGCAGCCGCAGUAA
rnacentral:rRNA from 1 species